AUUGAACGCUGGCGGCAGGCCUAACACAUGCAAGUCGAACGAGUGGCGGACGGGUGAGUAAUGUCUGGGAAACUGCCUGAUGGAGGGGGAUAACUACUGGAAACGGUAGCUAAUACCGCAUACCAUCGGAUGUGCCCAGAUGGGAUUAGCUAGUCGGGGGGGAAAAGGCUAACCUGGGCGACGAUCCCUAGCUGGUCUGAGAGGAUUACCAGCCACACUGGAACGAGGACACGGUCCAGACUCCUACGGGAGGCAGCAGGGGGGAAUAUUGGACAAUGGGCGCAAGCCUGAUGCAGCCAUGCCGCGUGGAUGAAGAAGGCCUUCGGGUUGUAAAGUACUGUCAGCGGGGAGGCGUUACCCGCAGAAGAAGCACCGGCUAACUCCGUGCCAGCAGCCGCGGUAAUAC
rnacentral:rRNA from 1 species